rnacentral:tRNA from 1 species
GCCUUGGUGGCCUAGCUGUUAAGCACUUGGCUGCUAACCAAAAGGUUGGUGGUUCAAAUCCAACCAGUGCCG